rnacentral:ncRNA from 1 species
UCUGGACAUGGACAGGAUUGACAGAUUGAGAGCUCUUUCUCAGUUCAGUGGGUGGUGGUGCAUGGCCAUUCUUAGUUGGUGGAACAAUUUCUCUGGUUAAUUCCGAUAACGAACAAGACUCUGGCAUGAUAACUUGGCAUGCCAAUGCUGGGGGCGAAAUCGAUAGCCAGGCUCAAGUGCAUCUACACCAAUGCACGCAGCACAGGGCAGCAAACAGGAGGAGCUGGAAGCCAUUGUGCAGCGGGACAGCUAUGACUUAGUCGCCAUCACAGGAACAUGGUGGGAAGACUCACGUGGCUGGACUGCUGUAAUGGAUGGCUCUUCC